GGCUGUUGACUCUGACCUGGUCUUUGGUUAAGUCUCUUCAUCGAGAUCUCCUGGGUGAUGGGGCUGAAGCUGGCCUUCAUGCACCUGCCCUUCAUGCAUUGGUCCUUCUCCUUUAUGGAUGACUUCGUGAUAGUCUCUUUUUUUUUUAAAAAAAAAAAAAAGAGCAUUUGUGUCAGGCCUGAGAAGUGUAAAACAUUUGCUUCAUUCCAGUUGUUUUACUUCAUUCCAAACUGCAGGACAUGCAUGCCUUUCAGAGAUCCGUCUUAUCCUCAUAGCGACACAUACAUGAAGCUCUCUGGCUGUCAAGGUACGGCUUACAUCCUAAGUGUAUAACUGCAUCAAACAACAGCUGAACAAUUGAUUCACAAGCCUGUACAUUCUCUGAUAUUCCAAGUGUUUUCUGCACAUCUCUGCAGAUUUUGGAGAGGCAGGACUGAAAUUGCUCAUCACAGUCGUUUUUUUUAUUGCCACAAGUAUCAUAACAUCUAUCAUGGUGAUUGCAGCACUUUGUCAUCAGAGGGAUACCAACGUCAAAAUGAACUCCAAAUAGAGGCGAUCCGCAACCACUUGGUGGCGAAGGCUUAUAUCCAUAGCGAGGAAAGGGCUUUGAUCCGUCGCUGCAUUUGUACUGGCAGAGGCCGUCCUCGCCGCCCAGGAGGUCGAGCGCCGCGUUGAGGUAAACGUCGAUCUUGUGCACGCCGUUCCGGAUAGUUUUCAGCGUCAUCCUCCAGUCUGGGGUCUGCGGCGCCUCCUGGCUCCGGGCCGCCGGCGGCCGCGGGCCCACCCAGGCACCCGCCAUCAGCAGCGGCAGCAGCAGCAGGGCGCGGGCCAUGCCCGAGGAGCCGCGCCCCGCGCCGCCGGGCGCUCGCUAAGCCCCCGCCGCGCGGCCGCAGCGCUCCGCACGCACGGCCCGGCCCGCCGCCAUCGGCCCCGCGGGCGCCGCCCCUACGGCUGGGCGGGACUGCGAGCAGGGCGCGGCCUGUUGGAGAAGGCGGCCGGCGUCCGCUCCUGGCCCGGCGCUGCGGUGUGGGGUGCUGGGAGCGGAGCUGCUCCGGGAUCUUUCCACGUGCGAGCGAUUCGCUUUCAGGUGAGGCAGGGUGGAACCACACGGGAAUCGUUCUAAUUUCUGCAACGAAAGCCUUGUUUUAAGACGUGUGGAAUUCCUCAAAAGACGGACAGAGGGAUUUUAGGACACAGGGUUUCCAGACACUGGGAGACCAGUAUAUUGUUUUCUGUGAAAUGGAGAAACGCCUCUGAUCAUCCUUGUUACUUCUUUCUCAGAAAGAUGAGAGGACUGGAACUUGCAGAUACAGAUCAUUCCCCUGGUGUGAUUUUCACUCUUCCUGGUCACCCACAAGCUAUACUCUUCAAAAAUCAGCUGAAGUGCACAACAGAUGAUAAACAUUUCAAGCCAGUGGUUUAUAGCACACCACAACAAUGGAACUGUGAGCAAAUUAAAAUAUAAGGGGACUUCACAGAAUCACACAGAAUGGCCUGGGUUGGAAGGGACUUCAAGGAUCAUGAAUCUCCAACCCACCCCCCUGCCCCCCCGGCACUGGCAGGGCCACCAACCUCUACAUUUAAUACUAGAGCAGGCUGCCAAGAGCCCCGUCCAGCCUAGCCUUGAACACCUCCACGGAUGGGGGAUCCACAACCUCUCUGGGCAGCCUGUUCCAGCACCUUACCACUCUCACAGUAAAGAACUUGCCCCUGACAUCCAACCUAAAUCUUCCCUCCUUCAACUUAAAACCAUUUCCCCUUGUCCUGCUAUUAUCUCCCCUUUCAAAGAAUUGACUCCCCUAACUUGGCUUAAACACCAGAAAAAUGAAAUUAAAAAAAAAAGAGUAGCAACUUGAUUUUUUUUCAAGACCUUUUUAUUGUCCCAGUUGACCCAGUUGACAUAACUAUAGCCAAUAACUACUUAGAAACAAAUAAAUCUAAAAUUGAAGAUGUGUUUCAUUGCAAGUAACAAGUAUUAAGUAUCUUCAACAAAUGUGAAAAUUAAGUGCCCUUCCCAGUCUGUUUUGUUCCCAUAUCUUGGAUGGCAGUGGGUUUGCAGUGUGGUUUCUGGUUGUUGUGGACUGCAAGGAGUGCUCCUUAUCCCUCCAUCUGACCAUCUGUCUCUAGGUGAGUGAUAACACCUAUCCUGGCAGCUCUCUGGUUAUUCCAUUGCUGGCUGAGUGCUUUUGCUCACUAAGAUGUGUGUGCAGGGGGAAUGUUGAAAUGUGAAAAAUAUGUAGCUAGACUUUGCAUAAAGAUGAGAAAGAAAUGUCAGUUGUCAGAUCGGAUUUAUCGGCUUUGAGUGCAUCCACUGAAUCAACAGAGCCAAAGUUUAAAGUUCUCGUGAAGAAAUCCUGGCCUAAGUAAAGGCAGUGGGAAUGUCGCCAGGGCUGAAUUUAUUCCGAGCCCCUCCCACCCUUUUAAGGGCUGUAUAAUCUUAAUAAAUUCUUCCUGUUCUUCUCAGGUCAGUAGAAUCCUAUGCAUUAUCUUUAGAUUUACAUACCAAACUCUGAGCCAGGCCCGGCUUGGCAUAACUCCUGUAUUGCACUAGAUGUUUCUCUUUAGCUCUGACAGAAUAGCAACAAAAGGGGCUGAUCUUUACCUACGGGUUUUUCUUGGAAAGCUCAGGCUAUGCUGAACAUGGAGCCCAUCAGGACUCCUUGAGAGGCUUUUGCCAGAAGAGAUUUUACAACAAAAGCUUUCUGAGCUGAGCCACACUUGCAGGUUGGGUUUAGCAUAGCAUCCCGAUUAAAAGAUUUUCCAAAAGGCUGUUAAUGUAAACCUCAGAUAGAACCGAUAUACAGAGGAGAAACAGCAAGAUUCACAUUUUCAAGCUGGACUAAAACAAAUGUACGAAAUGCAGAUGCUGCAAAAGGAAAUUAAAAAAGACUUUGUUUUUAUAAUAAUAAAUUGUUUUAACUGUUUGCUGUUGGUUGGUUUGUUUUUAAAAUAAGGGGAUACCACAAUAAAAUAAGUUCUUACCUGUGCUCGACAGAAAGAAAAGAGAGAGAAGCAAACCAAGAGAACUGCAACCACUCUCAUGAUGAGGUUUUAUGUCUUUGUAGAGAAAUUCCCCUGGCCGGGACUUUCCCAAUUGCCAGUCGUUAGGUUUGUGUUUAAUUUUUAACCUUUGGUAAAACACUCUGAAGUGGACUCAGAAACAACUACGGGAGCCUUAGAUAUCAACGGAUGAGUCUGCUCUCUCCACACGGAUCCCACCCCAUUUAACCUGUUUUACUGUAAAUAGAGACCAAAGGGAAGCCCUUGAAGCCAACGGUUACAAGGGAGUGCUCAGCAGGGUCUCUCGCUCCCCGCCUGCUGCCAACGCAGACCGAUGGAGCCGCGGGCCGAUCUCCUGGCAGCAGGCACCCCGCUCUGCAGGGAGCUGUUAGGGCAGGUGCGUUCUUAGGUGAGAUACGUGUGUCUGUAUGCAGGCAGGCAAACGGAACGGAUCAACUCCACUAUCUCCGUGCGAGAGCGUAACCGGCGGAGCCUUGCUCAGAGAACUGUUGGGGCAGUGGCCAAUCCACUGCAUCCCACCUGCGGGCGGUUUCCGGGAGAACCGCGGUCUCGGCCGGCACAACGGAACGGCUCCUGCGA
rnacentral:lncRNA from 1 species